CAAAGUCUAUUCGUCCACCGCCU
rnacentral:siRNA from 1 species